AUCAACUGCAUAUACGUACAAAUGUAUUCUGAAAAAGUAUUUUAGUUUUUUCUUCAUGGGAGAGGGUGUGUAUACUUAGUGUGUGUGUUUCUAUCUAAGUAUCUCAUUGUCUAUUUACCUAAGGUGUAGGGGAACACCCUUCACAUCCACAAUCGUGUCAGCACUGUGAAUGCGCCGUUCAUUUACAUAGUUCUUAUUAUUUAGCAAGUCAUACAUGCCUGGUUUGAAGCCUC